CGUAGGGUGCAGGCGUUAAUCGGAAUUACUGGGCGUAAAGCGUGCGCAGGCGGUCUUUUAAGUCAGAUGUGAAAUCCCCGGGCUUAACCUGGGAACUGCGUUUGAAACUGGAAGACUUGAGUGUGGCAGAGGGGGGUGGAAUUCCACGUGUAGCAGUGAAAUGCGUAGAGAUGUGGAGGAACACCGAUGGCGAAGGCAGCCCCCUGGGCUAACACUGACGCUCAUGCACGAAAGCGUGGGGAGCAAACAGGAUUAGAUACCCUGGUAGUCCACGCCCUAAACUAUGUCAACUGGUUGUCGGGGAAGCAAUUCCUUGGUAACGAAGCUAACGCGUGAAGUUGACCGCCUGGGGAGUACGGCCGCAAGGUUA
rnacentral:rRNA from 1 species